GUUGCUAAUAAAUAUAAGGUCUCCCUCCUCUGGAUGGAGACUACAGUGUGUGGAAUAUCACGUUUCUUUUCUUUUCUUUUUUUCACUCCUGAUAUUUAAUUAAAAGUGACCGUUAAGUAGCUAGGUGAAAUUAUUUGUUUAAAUAAAGAAAACAGUGCUGAUGUUGAAGUUAUUUCACGUUUUUUUCACGCUACACCUCCUGACAGGAAUUUUACACUUGAUCACAAUUAGUGAGCCUGAGCAACUGAUGUUCAUUCGGAACGGAAAACAAUCCAGCUUUGUGUUAGAUAGUUUUGCACUACAGAACGCCACUAUUCGUUUUAUUUGAUUCUAUUUUUGUUUAAUUCACAAAUCCUUAAUGGAUCUCAAGAGACAUGGAUGAAGAGGCGUCACUUGAGAGUUACUUUGACCAGUCAAUUGCUGGUUCCUCUGAGUACAUAUUUGGAGGGGAUUUGGGUUUGCAGGGCCCACCGCAGCUUCAGGAUCCCUCUUUCCUGUCCUCCUCUAUCUCCAACCAACAGAAAGAAGUCUCUGAGGACCUGGACCUGAGCUUUCUGCCUGAUGAGCUUAGUGCUCAGGAUGAAGGGGGAGAGAAUGCAGGAGUGGACUCUGCAGAGGACAGUGGUGUUUAUCUGGACUGUACAACUGCAACGUCGACUGAAGCAGACACUGAUGUCAAUAAGAGUCAGCCUGCAGCCUCCCCCUUCUGCAACCUCCCUAUGACCCCCAUGACACCCAUGACCCCUGUCGCCCCUGUGACUGAACGUUCAGGAAUCAUCCCACAACUACAGAAUAUAGUGUCCACAGUAAACCUGGCUUGUCCUCUAGACCUGAAAGCCAUCGCCCUUCAAGCUCGAAAUGCUGAGUACAAUCCAAAGCGUUUUGCUGCUGUAAUUAUGCGGAUCCGUGAACCCAGGACCACUGCCCUCAUCUUCAGCUCAGGAAAAAUGGUCUGCACUGGUGCAAAGAGUGAGGAGCAGUCUCGCCUUGCUGCAAGGAAGUAUGCCCGGGUGGUACAGAAGCUUGGCUUCCCAGCCAAAUUUCUUGACUUCAAAAUCCAGAACAUGGUUGGCAGUUGUGAUGUGUGUUUCCCCAUACGGUUGGAGGGCCUGGUUCUGACUCACCAACAGUUCAGCAGCUAUGAACCCGAGUUGUUUCCUGGUUUGAUCUACCGUAUGGUGAAGCCACGGAUUGUCCUCCUGAUUUUUGUGUCUGGAAAAGUUGUUCUUACAGGUGCUAAAGAUCGCUCCGAAAUAUAUGAAGCUUUUGAGAAUAUCUACCCAAUUCUGAAAGGAUUCCGGAAACAGUAAAAAAGAAACUGCACUUCUACUUUUUAUUGAGUUCAGAUACGCCAGUAUAUGAGCUUGUUCUCCAGGCUCACCAACGCCCAAUUCUCCAGACAGAAUGUUCCUCUAGCCAUGUCUCUCGAUGUAGCGUGAUAAAACAGUUCUAUUUCAGUAUUGUAGCCUGCGCCCUGUUCUUUGUACAUCACUUAACAAAGCCGAGAUAAAACGAUUUGUGCCAGAUUUACUAAUCGGGAUCAAGUGGUCUAGUUUAGUUAUUCAAACGCAGCCAAGAACUUGAUGCUAGGUCUACACUAUAUGAACCCUUAUGUGGUUCUUCCCCAAACUGUUGCCACAAAGCUGGAAGCACAUAAUUGUGUAGGAAGUCUUUUCUUUGCUGUAGCCUUACAAGUGAAAAUCCCUUCAGUGGAACUAAAGGGCCCAAACCUGUU